rnacentral:misc_RNA from 1 species
CCAGAGCGGUUCCUGUUUCAACGAAAUCGCUGGAAACGCUCUAACUCUUUGUUUUGUCGCAUUAUCCGGCACAAAACCGUUUCACACUUUUGCUGGAAAUGCUCUAUAUCCCAGAAAAACAAAACUUCGUACCCUGUUUUUUGCGUUCCCGCAUUUAGAGCGCAUCCCGAAAAGUGUGAAACGGUUUUCGGAAAAGAUGCGCGUCAAAACAAAGGAUUAGAGCGCCGAUCUGAUUCAAU